CCGCCCGUCACAUCACGAAAGCCAUCUGUACUAGAAGCCGGUGAUUCAACCGCAAGGAGAUAGCCGUCCAAGGUAUGAAUGGUCGAUUGGGGUG
rnacentral:rRNA from 1 species